rnacentral:rRNA from 1 species
ACACGAGGAAACUAGUGGUAAUACCGCAUACGCUCUACGGAGGAAAAUUUUUUUGCCGUGGGAUGAGCCUGCGUUAGAUUAGCUUGUUGGUAGGGUAAUGGCCUACCAAGGCGAUGAUCUAUAGCUGUUCUGAGAGGAAGAUCAGCCACACUGGGACUGAGACACGGCCCAGACUCCUACGGGAGGCAGCAGUGGGGAAUCUUGGACAAUGGGGGAAACCCUGAUCCAGCAAUGCCGCGUGUGUGAAGAAGGCCUGCGGGUUGUAAAGCACUUUUAGUAACGAAGAGGACUAUCUUCGGAUAGUCGGAC